GGAAUUCUAGCCAUGCAGGAGCUUUCGUGAUAGUGACUGAAGAAGCCAUUGCCAAGGGUAUCCGCAGGAUUGUUGCUGUCACAGGUGCUGAAGCCCAGAAGGCCCUCAGGAAGUCAGAAACCUUGAAGAAAUCUCUCUCGGCCAUGGAGGUCAAAGUGAAGGCCCAGUCUGCACCCAACAAGGAUGUGCAGAAGGAAAUUGCUGACCUUGGUGAGGUCCUGGCCACUGCAGUCAUUCCCCAGUGGCAGAAAGAUGAACAACGGGAGACUUUGAAAUCCCUGAAGAAAGUCAUGGAUGACCUAGACCGGGCCAGCAAAGCCGAUGUCCAGAAGCGAGUGUUAGAGAAGACUAAGCAGCUGAUUGACAGCAACCCCAACCAGCCUCUGGUCAUCCUGGAGAUGGAGAGCGGUGCAUCGGCCAAGGCCCUGAAUGAAGCUUUGAAGCUUUUCAAGACACAUUCUCCUCAGACAUCUGCAAUGCUCUUCACAGUAGACAAUGAGGCUGGCAAGAUCACAUGCUUGUGUCAGGUUCCUCAGGUCAGAACUUCCUACAGCCUCAGUCCAAAUCAGUCUGCAAACCCGUAGGCCGUGGGAAACAC
rnacentral:lncRNA from 1 species